rnacentral:rRNA from 1 species
UACGUAGGGUGCAAGCGUUGUCCGGAAUUAUUGGGCGUAAAGAGCUCGUAGGCGGUUUGUCGCGUCUGCUGUGAAAACCCGAGGCUCAACCUCGGGCCUGCAGUGGGUACGGGCAGACUAGAGUGCGGUAGAGGAGAGUGGAAUUCCCGGUGUAGCAGUGAAAUGCGUAGAGAUCGGGAGGAACAUCAGUUGCGAAGGCGGCUCUCUGGACCAGCACUGACACUGAGGCACGAAAGCGUGGGGAGCAAACAGG